GUAUAAGAGACAGCAGCAGCCACGGUAAUACAGAGGGUGCAAGCGUUAAUCGGAUUUACUGGGCGUAAAGCGUGUGUAGGUGGCUGUUCAAGUCGGUUGUGAAAGCCCUGGGCUCAACCUGGGAAUUGCUUCCGAGACUGAGCGGCUAGAGUACGGUAGAGGGCGGUGGAAUUUCCGGUGUAGCGGUGAAAUGCAUAGAUAUCGGAAGGAACACCAAUGGCGAAGGCAGCCGCCUGGGCCUGUACUGACACUGAGACACGAAAGCGUGGGGAUCAAACAGGAUUAGAGACCCCAGUAGUCCCUGUCUCUUAUAC
rnacentral:rRNA from 1 species